rnacentral:rRNA from 1 species
GACCAAGGAGUCUAACAUGUGUGCAAGUCAUUUGGUUAUAAAACCAAAAGGCGUAACAAAAGUAAAAUAAGCUUUGCUUAAUUAGGGAGGAUAAUUAUAAAAAUUUUUUUAUAAUUCGCACUCCCGGGGCGUCUAUUACUCAUUACGAGUAAAGGCGCACCUAGAGCAUACACGUUGGGACCCGAAAGAUGGUGAACUAUGCCUGGCCAGGAUGAAGCCAGGGGAAACCCUGGUGGAGGUCCGUAGCGAUUCUGACGUGCAAAUCGAUCGUCAGAGCUAGGUAUAGGGGCGAUAGACUUAUCGAACUAUCUAGUAGCUGGUUCCUUCCGAAGUUUCCCUCAGGAUAGCUGGUGCCAAUGAUGAUUAGAGUCUCAUCUGGUAAAGCGAAUGAUUAGAGGCCUUGGGGCCGAAACGACCUCAACCUAUUCUCAAACUUUAAAUGGAUGAGAGCCUUGGCUUGCUUAAAAGUGAAGCCAAGGACUUGGAUCUAGGGUGCCAAGUGGGCCAAUUUUGG